AGUGAACGCUGGCGGCAGGCCUGACACAUGCAAGUCGAACGGCAGCACAAGAGAGCUUGCUCUCUGGGUGGCGAGUGGCGGACGGGUGAGGAAUGCAUCGGAAUCUGCCCAUUUGUGGGGGAUAACCUCGGGAAACCGGGACUAAUACCGCAUACGACCUACGGGUGAAAGCAGGGGAUCUUCGGACCUUGCGCAGAUGGAUGAGCCGAUGCCGGAUUAGCUAGUUGGAGGGGUAAAGGCCCACCAAGGCGACGAUCCGUAGCUGGUCUGAGAGGAUGAUCGGCCACACUGGGACUGAGACACGGCCCAGACUCCUACGGGAGGCAGCAGUGGGGAAUAUUGGACAAUGGGCGCAAGCCUGAUCCAGCCAUGCCGCGUGUGUGAAGAAGGCCUUCGGGUUGUAAAGCACUUUUGUUGGGAAAGAAAAGCAGCCGGUUAAUACCCGGUUGUCAUGACGGUACCCAAAGAAUAAGCACCGGCUAACUUCGUG
rnacentral:rRNA from 1 species